rnacentral:rRNA from 1 species
CAGAGGUGGCAAGCGUUGUUCGGAUUCAUUGGGCGUAAAGGGUCCGUAGGCGGUUCAGAAAGUUGGAGGUGAAAUCCCAUGGCUUAACCAUGGAACUGCCUUCAAAACUCCUGGACUAGAGGAUGAGAGGGGUAGAGGGAAUUCCCGGUGUAAGGGUGAAAUCUGCAGAGAUCGGGAAGAACACCAGUCGCGAAGGCGCUCUACUGGCUCAUUUCUGACGCUGAGGGACGAAAGCUAGGGGAGCAAACGGGAUUAGAUACCCCGGUAGUCCUAGCUGUAAACGAUGAUCACUAGGUGUCGGGUGGGUAAACCAUUCGGUGCCGCCGCUAACGCAUUAAGUGAUCCGCCUGGGAAGUACUGUCGCAAGGCAG